rnacentral:rRNA from 1 species
AACGUACGCUGGCGGCACGCCUAACACAUGCAAGUCGAACGAAGUAGCAAUACUUAGUGGCAGACGGGUGAGUAACAUGUAGGUAUCUGCCCUUUGGCCUGGAAUAACACGAGGAAACUUGUGCUAAUACCGGAUAAGUCUUUACGGAGAAAGCUUUAUGCACCAUUGGAUGAGCCUGCACUUGAUUAGUUUGUUGGUGGGGUAAUGGCCUACCAAGACUGUGAUCAAUAGCUGAUUUGAGAGGAUGAUCAGCCACAUUGGGACUGAGACACGGCCCAAACUCCUACGGGAGGCAGCAGUGGGGAAUCUUGCACAAUGGAGGAAACUCUGAUGCAGCGAUGCCGCGUGAGUGAAGAAGGCCCUUGGGUUGUAAAGCUCUUUCGUCGGGGAAGAAAAUGACUGUACCCGAAUAAGAAGGUCCGGCUAACUUCGUGCCAGCAGCCGCGGUAAUACGAAGGGACCUAGCGUAGUUCGGAAUUACUGGGCUUAAAGAGUUCGUAGGUGGUUGAAAAAGUUAGUGGUGAAAUCCCAGAGCUUAACUCUGGAACUGCCAUUAAAACUUUUCAGCUAGAGUAUGAUAGAGGAAAGCAGAAUUUCUAGUGUAGAGGUGAAAUUCGUAGAUAUUAGAAAGAAUACCAAUUGCGAAGGCAGCUUUCUGGAUCAUUACUGACACUGAGGAACGAAAGCAUGGGUAGCGAAGAGGAUUAGAUACCCUCGUAGUCCAUGCCGUAAACGAUGUGUGUUAGACGUUGGAAAUUUAUUUUCAGUGUCGCAGGGAAACCGAUAAACACACCGCCUGGGGAGUACGACCGCAAGGUUAAAACUCAAAUGAAUUGACGGGGACCCGCACAAGUAGUGGAGCAUGUGGUUUAAUUCGAAGAUACGCGCAGAACCUUACCAACACUUGACAUGUUCGUCGCGACUCUAAGAGAUUAGAGUUUUCGGUUCGGCCGGACGAAACACAGGUGCUGCAUGGCUGUCGUCAGCUCGUGUCGUGAGAUGUUGGGUUAAGUCCCGCAACGAGCGCAACCCUCACUUUUAGUUGCCAUCAUUAAGUUGGGCACUCUGAAAGAACUGCCAGUGAUAAGCUGGAGGAAGGUGGGGAUGACGUCAAGUCCUCAUGGCCCUUACGUGUUGGGCUACACACGUGCUACAAUGGUAUCUACAACAGGAAGCUAAGACUGCGAAGUUAAGCAAAUCCCUAAAAGAUACUCUCAGUUCGGAUUGCACUCUGCAAACUCGAGUGCAUGAAGCUGGAAUUACUAGUAAUCGUGGAAUCAGCGUGCCACGGUGAAAUGCGUUCCCGGGUCU